GGGAGAGUGGGGGUGGGGUUGCAGAGUGCAGAAAAAGGAAGACUAGAAAAGCCCGUCCAGAGGGAGAAUUUAUUUUUGCAGCAAGGAUUCCAGUUCCCCAGGGACAGUUUCCAUUGACGGACACCUGUGCACACAGGUCUGCAUGAGCCCUGUGUUGUUGGGGACCAGUAAGACAUUUCAGCCUGCAAUGUGAGGAAGCUGGUGCCACAUACACACCCUCUGUCACUGAUCAGGUGUUCAUUUGCCAGGCACAUGGACUUGUACAAAAGGUCCAUGUAAAAAUUGUCUGUCUGGCCAUAGCUG